GGAGGCGUACGAGCACCUGGUGGGCUUCGCUGUCUUCAAAACAGACGGGACGGGCGAUCCCCGUCCGGCGGGUUCGAUUCCCGUCCGCCUCCGCCA
rnacentral:tRNA from 1 species